GCCCUGCUGAGGAGUCUUAUAAUAGGACGUAACGGCCGUCUAGUGC
rnacentral:hammerhead_ribozyme from 1 species